CUUUCUCCGCCGGCGACCGGCGCACGGGUGAGUAACACGUAUGCAACCUGCCCCUGUCAGGGGGACAACCCGCCGAAAGGCGGGCUAAACCCGCGUACAUGCCACCGGGGCAUCCCGGAGGCAGGAAAGGCUUCGGCCGGACAGGGAUGGGCAUGCGGCGCAUUAGGCAGUAGGGCGGGGUAACGGCCCACCUAACCGACGAUGCGUAGGGGUUCUGAGAGGAAGGUCCCCCACACUGGUACUGAGACACGGACCAGACUCCUACGGAAGGCAGCAG
rnacentral:rRNA from 1 species